GAUGAACGCUGGCGGCGUGCCUAAUACAUGCAAGUCGAGCGAACGGACGAGAAGCUUGCUUCUCUGAUGUUAGCGGCGGACGGGUGAGUAACACGUGGAUAACCUACCUAUAAGACUGGGAUAACUUCGGGAAACCGUAGCUAAUACCGGAUAAUAUUUUGAACCGCAUGGUUCAAAAGUGAAAGACGGUCUUGCUGUCACUUAUAGAUGGAUCCGCGCUGCAUUAGCUAGUUGGUAAGGUAACGGCUUACCAAGGCAACGAUGCAUAGCCGACCUGAGAGGGUGAUCAGCCACACUGGAACUGAGACACGGUCCAGACUCCUACGGGAGGCAGCAGUAGGGAAUCUUCCGCAAUGGGCGAAAGCCUGACGGAGCAACGCCGCGUGAGUGAUGAAGGUCUUCGGAUCUUAAAACUCUGUUAUUAGGGAAGAACAUAUGUGUAAGUAACUGUGCACAUCUUGACGGUACCUAAUCAGAAAGCCACGGCUAACUACGUG
rnacentral:rRNA from 1 species